AAUUCAUAUUCAUUCUUCAGAUGACUUGACAAGCUAAAAUGGGAGAACUAGUCAGCUACUUGAAGACAUGCAUGGUGUAUGCCAGCAUACCGUUGAUGUACCUGGGAAUUAGCAUGCUGAAGCUAGCCUACCUCGUAGCUCCGCAUGUCGUACUGAAAGGUGUUAAAAACAUGAGUAAUCGUUUGCCCGGAAUGGAGAAAAUAUUGCAGAAUGCUGAAUCGGCCGCUGAUGUCAAUUUUUUUUCUCCAACGAAUAUAUCAAGGCGAAUAUAAAAACACUUCUGAACAACAUCAAUAAAACAGCAGCUGAAGGUCAACCUGCUGUUAACGUGAAGCUGGUCAACCCGGAUAACGGAGCUCAAGUAAACAUCCUGGAUUAUGCAAAAGCUGGUCGUAUCCUUGUUGUUAAUUUUGGUUCCUGCACCUGACCCCCAUUCAUGGGCAGCCUCUCAAAGUUUAGCGGAACCAGAGCUAGAUUUGAGAAUAUGGUGGAUUUUAUCACAGUUUAUAUUGAAGAAGCACAUCCUAGCGAUGAAGAUCAUUUCAAGGAGAAUA